UACGGAGGAUGCAAGCGUUAUCCGGAUUCACUGGGCUUAAAGGGUGCGUAGGCGGGCAGGUAAGUCCGUGGUGAAAUCUCUGAGCUUAACUCAGAAACUGCCAUGGAUACUAUUUGUCUUGAAUAUUGUGGAGGUAAGCGGAAUAUGUCAUGUAGCGGUGAAAUGCUUAGAUAUGACAUAGAACACCAAUUGCGAAGGCAGCUUACUACACAGUUAUUGACGCUGAGGCACGAAAGCGUGGGGAUCAAACAGG
rnacentral:rRNA from 1 species